rnacentral:lncRNA from 1 species
AUUGUGUCUCAGGCAAUAGGGAGGCCCAAGGAGAGAGAGAGACAUGGGGAAACAGCCAGUCUGUGGAGCGUCAGAACGUACGUCGACGUCGCACUGACAGAUUAAGUUUGUCGUCUUAUUUCUGGAGGCCAGAAGUCUGCAAUCAAGGUGUUGCUGGGGUUGGUUUCUUCCGAGGCUUCUCCUGGGCUUGAAACCUCCAUGCUGCCAGAGGCACCAUGAGGACUGCUGGCAUCAGAGGACACCCCUCGCUGGGAGCAGAGGACCUUGUGGAUCAGUCGGAAGUGAAAGGAAAACCAUGUCUCUGAGUGACUGAGGCCUGGAACAAGUGGAGCUCAAACUGAUACAGGAGUAUACGUAGCAUCUCUUAGAAAUAUGCAGAAAUAUUUAGGGAGGUGGGGUUUUUAUGAGAGUCUAAAUUUUCUGUAUGAAUACAUAAGACUUGGUGGCAAGUGGGAUUCAAGAAUAAAUGUUAGUGUUGCUAAGACUUGGGGACACGAGUUCCACAAGAUACCAAACAGGAGAAUGUAAAUACA